UUCGGAGCGCAUGUUUCAGAACGAUAUUGUGGAAGCUGACACCUUUGAGCCGCGCAGUCCGGAUGUACUGCGCAGUCAUGACUUCGGUCAUUGAGGCGCGCGUCAUGCGGGCGAUAUAGCCCAUACCAUAAAGCGCAAUCGUCAGCACCGGCAGAAAGAAGUUCUCGAAGGUCGGAUUG
rnacentral:ncRNA from 1 species